rnacentral:lncRNA from 1 species
UCUUCCGACUCAAAAGGUUGCCGACUCCUGACCUAGGUUACUAUCCAACUUCCUGGAAAGUAGCUGUUAUUACCUUUAUUCACAAGCCAAGGAAACCACCACACGAAGACACGUCUAAUCUAGCUGUCACAAGAUUUUGAACAAAAAAAUACUAAUUAACAGUAUUCCUGGAUAUAAAGCAAGCUUUUGAUAAAGUCUGGCACACCGGACUGUUAUAUAAGUUUAAAAAAACACUGUCAUAUCCUUUUUACCUGAUCCUUAAAUCGUGCAUCAACGACAGAAAAUUUAUAGCGAAAUAUCAAAGUCAAUUGACCAUAACCUAUCUAAUUUUAUCCAGUAUUCCAUAAGACGAUACAGCCCUGUUAGCGUUGGACUACGCUACGUCAUAUGCAAAUAAUAAAAAAUUGAUACCAGAAAUGGCGUAUAAAUAUCAACGAAAGUAAAUCAGCGCAUAUAACCUUCACACUGCGUAAGCGCACAUGUCCUCCAAUGAUCAUAAAUGGAGCAGUUAUACCAACCAAAUAUUUGGUCACAUAUUUAAGUAUGAUUCUGGAUAAAAGGCUGACAUGGAAACAACACAUCCAAUCCAAAACAACAUUCACGCGAGAUGCAUCACUAUGGUGCAAAUGAGCAGCAUCCCAUUGGAAUAUAUUAUAUAACGACGGAUUUUCUUCCUUUUCAAAGAUGUGGAAUGAAAUCUUCGAUGGAUCUUCAUUGGAUCUUCGAUUGAUCUUCGUUGGAUCUUCGUUGGAUCUUCCAUUAAUCUUCGAUGGAUCUUCGAUGGAUUCCGACGAAUCUUCGAUGGAUCUUCUUCAAUAGCAAAUCAAAGAACUCUACGAUUGUCAGACUGCAAUACUUGCUACGAAGUAGGAGUAUUUUGGUGACAUCGCAGAACUUUUAAAGCUAACUGUUCAUAUUUCAUAUAUGCAUCAUUUUAAUUUUAAAAUGCGUCUUAUAUGUAAUAUAACGGUUAGCAAGUAGUGAGUCAAAAAAUUUAAAGUCCCUACGGUGCUUAAUUAUGCUAAGAAUGAAAAGUCCUAAUCGUUA